rnacentral:rRNA from 1 species
UACGUAGGGGGCUAGCGUUGUCCGGAAUCAUUGGGCGUAAAGCGCGUGUAGGCGGCCCGGUAAGUCCGCUGUGAAAGUCCAGGGCUCAACCCUGGGAUGCCGGUGGAUACUGUCGGGCUCGAGUCCGGAAGAGGCGAGUGGAAUUCCUGGUGUAGCGGUGGAAUGCGCAGAUAUCAGGAGGAACACCAAUAGCGAAGGCAGCUCGCUGGGACGGUACUGACGCUGAGGCGCGAAAGCGUGGGGAGCGAACAGG